GGGUCAGUAGGUUGGUCGUGCCACCGGUACGUACUGGUCUCACUGAUUCCUCCUUCCUGAAGAACCGUGAUGCCAUUAAUUUGGUGUUGCGGGGAAACAGGACUGUUACUUUGAAAAAAUUAGAGUGUUUAAAGCAAGCUAACGCUUGAAUACAUUAGCAUGGAAUAAUGAAACAGGACGAUCGAUCCUAUUUUGUUGGCUUCUAGGAUUGACGUA
rnacentral:rRNA from 1 species